rnacentral:misc_RNA from 1 species
UCUCCGUAGGUGAACCUGCGGAGGGAUCAUUACAGAGUUCAUGCCCUACCGGGUAGAUCUCCCACCCUAUGUUAUUAUUACUUUGUUGCUUUGGCGGGCCGUUAGGCUCCGGCCCGACUACCGGCCCCGGCUGGUAAGCGCCCGCCAGAGGACCCAAAACCCUGAAUAUUAGUGUCGUCCGAGUACUAUAUAAUAGUUAAAACUUUCAACAACGGAUCUCUUGGUUCUGGCAUCAUGAAGAACGCAGC